rnacentral:lncRNA from 1 species
AUCAUCACAUAUAUCUAUAUAAAGAGGUCUUUCUUUCUCUCAAGUCAUCCAUUGCAGCUCUCAAGAACAAAAGAAAAAAUCAGAGAAUUCCAGAUCCUUCUUCUUCUCUACAAAUCACUCACCUGAUACUCCAGCAAGACUUCCGAAUAUAAUUGAUAAUGAUCUCCGUUGUAAUCAUCACUGGUCUACUAGUGGAGUACACAGCAGCUCUCGCAAAACUCACCGCAGGGAUUAUUCCGAGACGGCAAGGAGACAGCAACGUAGUACGAGUUGGUGGUUUCGUCUUGUCUUGUCCUUCUCCGUGGAGUACUAAUCGUUCGUCGCCGAUACCAGACUUUUCUUCUCAUCUAGUAGAUUUCUGAUAUGUGACGACUUUUAGAGAUUUUUAUUUUGGAUUUUGUCAUCUUUUUUUAAUCUCUUCUAGAAGAGUGACGGCGGAGAUUUUUCCCUCGAGUGUCUCUAUGCCCUCUCUUCCUCUUUGUAAAUCUGUAUCGAAAUAUAAUAGAAAUUCACUAGUAAAAAUCUGUCGCACAGCCAUUAUAGUGCCACGGUAAAACCGUGGCUAAAUUAAAAAAGCCACGAUAAGUGUGUUGCUGAGUUAUUAUAUUAAAAAAAAAAAAAAAACAAAAACGCAAAUGUGUAUAGUUGUGCGCGUACGACGCGGUUGUUUUGUCUUUUUUAAAUAUAAAAGAUAAUUAAAAGUGAGUCCGUGUAACUCAUCCCCUCAUCAUCACAUAUAUCUAUAUAAAGAGGUCUUUCUUUCUCUCAAGUCAUCCAUUGCAGCUCUCAAGAACAAAAGAAAAAAUCAGAGAAUUCCAGAUCCUUCUUCUUCUCUACAAAUCACUCACCUGAUACUCCAGCAAGACUUCCGAAUAUAAUUGAUAAUGAUCUCCGUUGUAAUCAUCACUGGUCUACUAGUGGAGUACACAGCAGCUCUCGCAAAACUCACCGCAGGGAUUAUUCCGAGACGGCAAGGAGACAGCAACGUAGUACGAGUUGGUGGUUUCGUCUUGUCUUGUCCUUCUCCGUGGAGUACUAAUCGUUCGUCGCCGAUACCAGACUUUUCUUCUCAUCUAGUAGAUUUCUGAUAUGUGACGACUUUUAGAGAUUUUUAUUUUGGAUUUUGUCAUCUUUUUUUAAUCUCUUCUAGAAGAGUGACGGCGGAGAUUUUUCCCUCGAGUGUCUCUAUGCCCUCUCUUCCUCUUUGUAAAUCUGUAUCGAAAUAUAAUAGAAAUUCACUAGUAAAAAUCUGUCGCACAGCCAUUAUAGUGCCACGGUAAAACCGUGGCUAAAUUAAAAAAGCCACGAUAAGUGUGUUGCUGAGUUAUUAUAUUAAAAAAAAAAAAAAACAAAAACGCAAAUGUGUAUAGUUGUGCGCGUACGACGCGGUUGUUUUGUCUUUUUUAAAUAUAAAAGAUAAUUAAAAGUGAGUCCGUGUAACUCAUCCCCUCAUCAUCACAUAUAUCUAUAUAAAGAGGUCUUUCUUUCUCUCAAGUCAUCCAUUGCAGCUCUCAAGAACAAAAGAAAAAAUCAGAGAAUUCCAGAUCCUUCUUCUUCUCUACAAAUCACUCACCUGAUACUCCAGCAAGACUUCCGAAUAUAAUUGAUAAUGAUCUCCGUUGUAAUCAUCACUGGUCUACUAGUGGAGUACACAGCAGCUCUCGCAAAACUCACCGCAGGGAUUAUUCCGAGACGGCA